rnacentral:ribozyme from 13 species
UUUCCUUUUCCUUUUCCUCCUCUCUCUCUUUCUUUUCUUCCCUUUUUUCCUUUUCUUUCUUUGA